GAUGAACGCUGGCGGCGUGCCUAAUACAUGUAAGUCGAGCGAACGGACGAGAAGCUUGCUUCUCUGAUGUUAGCGGCGGACGGGUGAGUAACACGUGGAUAACCUACCUAUAAGACUGGGAUAACUUCGGGAAACCGGAGCUAAUACCGGAUGAUAUUUUGAACCGCAUGGUUCAAAAGUGAAAGACGGUCUUGCUGUCACUUAUAGAUGGAUCCGCGCUACAUUAGCUAGUUGGUAAGGUAACGGCUUACCAAGGCAACGAUGCAUAGCCGACCUGAGAGGGUGAUCGGCCACACUGGAACUGAGACACGGUCCAGACUCCUACGGGAGGCAGCAGUAGGGAAUCUUCCGCAAUGGGCGAAAGCCUGACGGAGCAACGCAGCGUGAGUGAUGAAGGUCUUCGGAUCGUAAAACUCUGUUAUUAGGGAAGAACAUAUGUGUAAGUAACUGUGCACAUCUUGACGGUACCUAAUCAGAAAGCCACGGCUAACUACGUG
rnacentral:rRNA from 1 species